AAGGUCUUACCUUAAUUAAAGUAAUUGAUUUGCAUUCAAUAAAUGUAGGAUGUAAUCCUACAGUCCUUA
rnacentral:tRNA from 1 species